rnacentral:rRNA from 1 species
UGGGGAAUCUUGCGCAAUGGGCGAAAGCCUGACGCAGCGACACCGCGUGAGGGACGAAGGCCUUCGGGUUGUAAACCUCUUUCGGCAGGGACGAAGCGAUAGUGACGGUACCUGCAGAAGAAGCCUCGGCUAACUACGUGCCAGCAGCCGCGGUAAGACGUAGGAGGCGAGCGUUGUCCGGAUUCAUUGGGCGUAAAGAGCGCGCAGGCGGUUCGGCAAGUCGGAUGUGAAAACCCGGAGCUCAACUCCGGGCCUGCAUCCGAUACUCCCGGACUAGAGGUAGGUAGGGGAGAUCGGAAUUCCUGGUGUAGCGGUGAAAUGCGCAGAUAUCAGGAGGAACACCGGUGGCGAAGGCGGAUCUCUGGGCCUUACCUGACGCUCAGGCGCGAAAGCUAGGGGAGCGAACA